rnacentral:lncRNA from 1 species
UAUGCGUUUUUGGGUCGAUAGCCGAGGUGGUACUAUGUUUUUCUUGAUCCAAUAGGUCGGUGGAAUAUCUCGAACGAAAGAGUCCUUAUUUGGCUCCAGCAGGGGGGCGGGCGCCUAGGCUACCAGGGCGGGCGCCCUGGGCCUGGCCCAGUUUCGCCUCCGCUUCGGUCUCGUGGCUUCUGGAGUCUUCUAGAUGAUGUAAAAUUACGCGGUGCGUUGAUAUCUCCAUGUAAUCCUGACAUGUGGGCCUUUCUUCCUUAUUUCCUGAUAACCCCCUGCAGAAAUAGAUAAACAACAAAACUCAUGGAAUUCUGUCAGAUCAAACCCUAAUUCUAGGUGUUGUUUGCAUAUUGGUCCUUUCUCAUGUUUAUUUGAUAAUUAAAAUUGAUACUUAAGAACCGUCAACACUAGACUUUGAGCCACACAUUUACUUUUUACUGCUUAUGAGCAUUGAGUGUGGUCAAGCUGUGUAGACCCUUAGGAGCUUGUCAUGUGGUUAAAAUCAAGAUUCACUUGCACGUUCACUCACACAUGCUACUUCUACUCCGGAAGUACGCAUCCACAUACAUCCACUCACUUCCAUCUCCAGAGCCAUCCAAAAGUAUUCUACUCCUAAUCUGGGAGAGAGUAGCCAAAAACAUUUCUAUUUUUCCCUGUGAAAUAACUGCUUGAGUUAUCUUGGUUACUACCACUUGCUAUAUUAUUUCAGGAGAUGAGUGCUUUAAAAAAAGAAGAAAAAAAAGAGAGAAAGAAUACGAGGAAAUAAAAAGGGGCAAGUGCCCGGAACCUCGAAAAAAAGAAAAAGUGAGACGAGAGGUAAAAAUUGUCUGACAGUAAAAUUAGGGGUACAAGAUACCACCUAAGGAAAGAAAAAGAAAAUAUAGAGAAUCUCAUUCUCCUCAAAAAGCUUCAAAGUGCAAGAAAGGUAUGUAUCCCCUUAAAAGAGCAAAAGUAUAAUUAGAUUUUCACCAUUGUUAUCACCAUACACCAUUCACUCGCCACACAUGCACAUCUUGAUUUGACUUAUUGACUUGUUCUUCUGGAUCCAUGGUUUGACUAUGCAAUAAAUGUCUUAUAAGUAUGUAUUAUCUGUCUCCCACCUAUGAGCUCCAGAUAUCAAAACCUUAUUAGAGUAGGGUGAGAGAGAAGGCAAUAUCACUAUGCCUCAUACCAAAAACAUCACUUACUUUGAGAGAAGGCAUAUACCAUUACUGCCAUGGAAAGGAUCUAGAAAUACCACAAAAGAGAGAUUUGAGAGAAUCAGAUAAGGAAUCUCUGAGUUUUAUUUGAAAAUCUGCAAAAACUCUAGAGCUAUAGCUGAUCAAGAACAAGAGACAUGGCGCUUGACUAGACUGUUCUAUCUUUUAACUGCUCAAGACACAAGUGACGAUUGCAAGCCCCAUGGUGAAAGGUAAAACAAGUAAGUUUUAAGUCUUAACAGUUUACUCUAACUGAGAGAUGAGAUCUUGCUUGAAGGCAUGUGUACUUUUAAGGCAUGAAACCACUGCAGGAACUUUUGAGUCUAUCCUUGCUCAGGGACGAGCAAGAGGUAAGCUUGGGGGAGUUUGUUGACAGUCCUUAAGUACCAAAUAUAAUCAUCAAAUAAAUAAAGAAAAGGAUCCAAAUGCAACCAACACCCAGGCUUAGGGUUAUAUCUGACAGAAUUCCACGAGUUUUAUUGUUUGUCUAUUUCUGUAGGGGGUUAUCAGGAAAUAUGGAGGAAAGGCCCACACGUCGGGUUUACGUAAAGAUAUUAACGUGCCGCGUAAUUUUCUAUCAUCUAGAAGAGUCUAGAAGCCACGGGAAGGAACGGGAGGCCGAACGGGCCCAGGGGCUUGGCGCUCGCCGUCCCCCCUUGGGCGCCCGCCCUGGUACAAGCACCAAUCACAGAAUGGAUUACACCAUUACAAAGAUCUCGUCGAGCUGAUCGAAAUGCAUAUAUUAUUUGCUAUAUUUGGAGUUCGGAAUCAAGAGAUAUUAAUAAAAGAAGGACUCUACAUAAAAGAGCUGCGGGAUUAAUUGGGCUCAAAUCAGAUUUUGGUCCAUUAAGGCCUAUGUGCAUUUUAAUGAGAUAUGGUGGAAAGUUUAGUACCACAUCGCCCGCUGAACCAAAAAGGCACAAAAGGAGGAGGCUAUAUAAGCAAGGCCCCUGGCC